CCACACACGAUCCAAGAUCGACACUUUUUUGUGAACUGUAAACUUUUUUGUUGAUGAAUGAAAGUAGAGUUACACAUUCUGCUUUUUGAAGUCAAUGAAAACUUUUUAAACACCUUUAUUUAAAAAACAAAAAUGAUUUAUACAUUGGAACUUAAAAUGUUAUAACAAGUUCGUCUUGAUAUAACGCUAGAUUAUUAAUUGUAAAA
rnacentral:misc_RNA from 1 species